rnacentral:rRNA from 1 species
GCAGCACGUCUUCGGAUGGUGGCGACCGGCGCACGGGUGCGUAACGCGUAUAGAACUUACCUUUUACAGGGGAAUAGCCUUUAGAAAUGAAGAUUAAUGCCCCAUAGUAUUGCGAUUUGGCAUCGAAUUGUAAUUAAAGAUUUAUCGGUAAAAGAUGGCUAUGCGUCCUAUUAGUUAGAUGGUAAGGUAACGGCUUACCAUGGCGAUGAUAGGUAGGGGUCCUGAGAGGGAGAUCCCCCACACUGGUACUGAGACACGGACCAGACUCCUACGGGAGGCAGCAGUGAGGAAUAUUGGACAAUGGUGGUAACACUGAUCCAGCCAUGCCGCGUGCAGGAAGACUGCCCUAUGGGUUGUAAACUGCUUUUAUACAGGAAGAAACACACCUACGUGUAGGUGCUUGACGGUACUGUAAGAAUAAGCACCGGCUAACUCCGUGCCAGCAGCCGCGGUAAUACGGAGGGUGCAAGCGUUAUCCGGAAUCAUUGGGUUUAAAGGGUCCGCAGGCGGUCGAUUAAGUCAGAGGUGAAAUCCCAUAGCUUAACUAUGGAACUGCCUUUGAUACUGGUUGACUUGAGUCAUAUGGAAGUAGAUAGAAUGUGUAGUGUAGCGGUGAAAUGCAUAGAUAUUACACAGAAUACCGAUUGCGA